ensembl:lncRNA
CCUCCAUAUUCUACCCUUGAACAUAAAAACAAGUAACAUCAUGCAAAAUCUCCCAAAUAUUAACCAAAAUGUGCAGGAGGCUUAUUACAGAAAUGCCAAAACCCAUGGAUAUGUCUUAUUGAAAACUCCACAGCUCUGGGCCAAGACAAUGUCUCAUGUGUACACAAGAAAUCAAAUUAGAGCAUAAUUGCUUGUCACUAGGCAACCAUUGACUUUUAGAUGAGUAAUCAAUCCUUGGACACAAAGAGUAAACAUAACAGACAGUUACCACUCAGCCCUUUAGAUAAUGCUUAAAACCAAAGAGUCACUUCUCUCUUCUGUAAACUUAUCUUUUUAUCUGGUAGCUUCAAAAAACCAUGUCAGGUAGAUUUGUGCAGCUUUGUUAAAUCAAUCUCUACUGAUAAUUACAUAGGCGAUACAGGGCUUGCAGAACCGCAGGGGUUGGAAGGGACCUCAGGAAAUCAUUGAGUCCAACCCCAUUGCUAAAGCAGGUUCCCCACAAUAGGCCGCACAGGUAGGCGUCCAGAUGGAUCCUGAAUACCUUCAGGGAAGGAGACUCCACCACCUCUCUGGACAACCUUUUCCACUGCUACAUCACCCUUAAUGUUAGCAAGUUCUUCCACAUAUUCGUAUGGAAAUUCCUAUGUUCAAAUUUUAAGCCAUUACUCCUUGUCCCAUUGCUACACACCACCAAGAACAGCAUGAAUGUUUGUCAAAAAAAAAAAAAAAAAAAAAAGGGGGGGGGGGGGGGGGGGGAGCAUGUGAGACAGAAUUUAAUGUAUUAAGUCUUUUCUGAAGCAGAGAAUUGAGAGGUACUACUGGGUGUUCUUACCAUGUCUGCUGCAACCUCCUAGCCAGAGGAGGCUGUUUAAGCAUUUUCAUAUUGUUACACUUUGGAUCUUUUUAUCUAUGACUUAGGACAGCCUAAACACUUCUCCUAAUAGAAGCUGCUCCAGAAAUUUGUUUUCUCCCUUUUUAACAGCCAUCUUCCAGUGUCUAGCCUGAAGUUAUUUGCAAGCUAUUUACACGCAUUUGUACCAGCAUCAGUCAUCCUUUAGCUUAUCCAGCUCUCUCCCAUUGUGUUCAGCCUCUAGAUUUGUCUAUGAAUAACAACCCCUUUGCCUUUAUUUUGCUAGGCUGAUCAGCCUCUUAGCUUCUUUUUGCACCAGAGGAUUUCCGUCCCCAUAAUGACAAGUGUCUGCACUGGUUCACGUCAGCAUUUAUUCUUCCUGACCCUUCUUCUAGAUUUGUGUUUCAAUAGUGCCUUACCACUAGUAUUUCCUUUCUUCAUGGGAAAUAUCUCUCCUGAUGAUCUGCCAAUUAUAUCUGCUCUUUUUUUUUUUUUCCUCUGCUAAUAGAACAAGUCAUACAAGGUCCCAGUCAAGAAAUCAAAACCAAACAAUCCAUCUACACUUUACACGUCUGUACCAGUGAAAGAAACGUGGGAAACUGAAUACAAGAACUAUCUAUGCCAACUAGCGCAGCUAAGAAUGGAUGGAGUAAUAGAUUGGCUGGGCUGGGAGAACAGAUAUGCUACUGCUCUGUGCCACCCCAGCUACACAUGGAUAAUGGAAGAUACUCAGCUGGAAGUGUCCAGGUAAAGGUGAAGAUAAACAGCUCACCGUUUAUCAGAGAAGUUACCCAUAAAGCUGUCUGGAAGUCUUUCUCCUAGAGCUGGGCAGGCAAGCAAAUCCUACUAUUCAUUUGGGAAGCCGAGAUUAGGGAAGGUGAUGAAACCAGCUAGAGAAGGAGACCUACAGCAACACUUCCAGGAGAACCAGUUGUGUAAAGUGACGAGUUCAGAAUUGAAGAGCUGACCUACAGAAACUCUGGCCUUAUGUUAUGCCUCCAGUUUUCAAGUUGAAGCACUGAAAAAUACUACACCAUGCAGAUGUGACUACACAGGCAGGAACUCAGCAUCUUGGAAUUUUAUUUGCACAAAACAAACUGCACAAAUUAUGUUGAUGAAAAUCUAUUCAAAAUGAUUUCAUUUAUUAGACCACAAUGAUAUCAUGCCACACCUCUGAAGAAAAUGAAGUAUGUCUAUUGAAUAAUAAUAACAAAACACAAACAGUCCUGAGAGUAGACAUGAAAAAGUGCAAGUAAAAAUCACACAAAAUUAAUGGCUUAUUUAGGUUUGAUCUGUUGCUUUUUUAUUAAGGAAAAACCCUUGGAAGGCUGUACUUUCACUGAGGCUAGGGGAUUGUCCUUAUUUAAUAUUAGGAUGGAGGUACUCAAAUGUUUUUAUCACAGGGACUGUACCCCAACAGAGCUCACCACCUUCAUCUGCAGAUCACAUAAGAUCCACAUCUAGCCUGCAGAACCACUUGAGAUACUAUUCUGUAAACUCAGUGUCUGAAGCUGUGCCUGCACAACACCAUCAGCCAGCUGUCCUAAGGACAUGAACAAGUGCUCUGCAGACCAGCCAUUUCAAAAGCCUUCAGUGAGCAAAUCUUUAAAGCAUUUAUGUCUACAAAGAUGCUUUUUUAGUACAUUUUUCAAACCCACAUAUUAACUGUUUGGUGAGACCUGAAGGCUUAAAAGGUGCUCAAGAAAAGACUAUUUCAACAGCAACUCCUUUUAAACUCUGCUAAAUUCAUACAUGCAUUAUCCACACAUGCACAUAGAUACAGAUACACGCUCAUAAAUGUUAUCUAUAAUAAUUCCUCAGGGCAAUACAGACCUGGACACGAAAUCAUGAGAGCACUAUAAUGUCAUUCACUUUUGACCUUUCCUGUUUAGAAAAGGGCAAAUGAUUUCUGGUUCUACUCUGUCAGGAGAAACCAUCAAGCAGAAUCGUAUGAUUCUUCUAGGACACUUCACAAAUACUGCCAAGAUUUGCUUCUGUAUAUAGCAGUUGUACAAUGCCACACGGAGAAAACAGAAGCAGGUGGACCAGGAUUGAACUAUAUGUGGUUUUCUUUGUGCAUUGGGUUGGCUGCAAACUGCCAGGUUUCAUAAUUCUCCCUUUCAUGUUGAUUUUCUGGUGCACAACAAAGCAUCAUUUCAUAUUAAAGUCUCUUCUUCAGUCAUGGAAUCGUAUCUCUUUCACCCAGCUUCUUAUUUCCACAAAAGUUGCUUCCAUCAGUCAAGUAAACCACCUGGUAUGCUGGAGUAUGAAGGUGAAACAUUAGUGAGACUGCAGGACACUUCGUGCUAGGGUAGUAUCUUGUGUAUCUUGUAUGGAAAGACUCUGCACAACAUAUUUUCUUACAAGCCAAGUACUAACUGGAUCUAAAUAAGCUCUUUAUAGUAAAGUAUUAUCAACUAUGAAACAUUUCCAAAAUUGGAUUAAGUUGAUUACAGUUCUAAGGUUUGGAAAUUUCCUUUGUAACUGAUGUUAUUAAUUCUAUUGAGCCUUUGAAUUUAUUUUUUUUCUCCUGACCAUGAAAACUAAUAUCUGUUUUUGGCAGAGAAAAGGGUAAUGGGAUGUGUUUGAUUUCUAAUAUAAUCCUGUUACUAACAAGGAAGAAGCUUGAAGGGUAAAGUAAAUACUGUAGAUGUUUUGUAGUCUAAGACUACACACAAAAUAUUGCUAGUACUUUAGCAGUAUUGGUUGCAUAUUGGUAACUGAUUUAAAACUCUAGAAUAAUGUAAAAAUAUUAAUUAUAUGAAAGGCAUAACAGAAUACUCUCAAAACAGAAAGUGAAACUUUUUUUUCUUUUUUUUUUUAAGAUGCUGAAGUUCAGCUUUGUGGUAUUUAGACAGUAUGUUUUGCCUGUAUUCUUUAUUCUGAAAGAUGCUUCCCAGAGCUACCUCCAAUAACUACCACAUUAUUGCAUGACCUAGUGCUACAAGAAAGCAAACCAUUUUACAAAUAUUUGAAUAAUGCUUGGCACAUUAGGGAAGCCUGUUCCAUUUGGAAGGAAUUAGUAGAUGUCAAAGUACUACAAAAAGUCAUCUAGUCCAUUUAUGAAGCACAUAAUAUUUCAGAAUACAAGUUAAUAAGCUCCAUGACACAGGAAGCCACACUGUUAUGAUCUCAAAGAAACAUCAUCUAUAGACAUAAUUAAUAAAAAUUCUGAAAGUACACAGUGUAUGCUUUAUAAUGACCACAUUAAACUGGGCAUCCAUUAAAUUGGCUUCUGCCAAUUACCUGCUGCAGUGUGCAAAUUUGUUGCGUAAAUGUCAGCCAUUUAAAUUUUCAAAUACAGCUGCAUUUAUCAGAGCACAGUAUUUGAUGUAAUCCCCUGAACAUGUUUUGUAGCUAACAAGAAGGUAAACAUGUCCACACAGAAUUUAUCAACACUGCCUCCCCAGACUGCCAAGUUUCAGCUGGUAUGUAUUGACCAAAAUCUGUUACAUCAAACAAGCAUUAUGUAACAUGGCUCUCUCAAACACUGAGUGGGCUCCUCCUACCUAAAUUAGGAGAUUGAAGAUAAGCUCUGGCAGGCAUUCAUAGUUUUAGAAAUGGGAAUGAG